AAAAUCAUCCUCUUAACUCUGUUGUUGGGGACCUCUGCUGUUUAGAGCCAGCCUGGCAUAAGCUGGAGUCCUGUGGUUCUAAUUCAAAAUUCUUAAUAGUUUCUGGUUGCAGAGAGAGGGUCUGAUUGGCCAAGAUCCCCACUUUAAUCUUUUGUGGGAAGGGGAAGGGUUGUGAAUUGGGAACUUGUCAGCUUGUGUCUACCCUGCAACCUAGUAGGUAGGGUGGGGACAGUGAUGUCAUAAUGGAACCUCAGGGUAAAACAAGAGAUUGAAAAGCUUCCCAAGGCGCCAACCUUCAAGAUUUAAAGGGAAGUAGGGCUGAUUUAGCUCUGUUCUGGUUCUGUUUCUGCUCAGCAUUCUCAGGUCUAAGAUUCCUGGGUUGGCUUCUGAGAGGGAGGAGACAGCCACCACAGCAAGAACAGCACCAGGAGUUUUAGAUUAAAAAUGGAAAGCAGAGAGUAGGGGAUGAGGCCUGUGGGCUGAGGACUGCCUGGCUCAGAACGGUGGAGGGAGAAGGUCAAGAGGAGGAGGGGAGCCAUCAGAGCUAACUGCCCGUCACCUGCUUGCCUUCAGAAGAUGUGCCUUCCGGGACCUGGUGGAGAGCAGAUGCCAGUGAGGUGCCUGUGGAGAGAAGGAAGCGUUUUCAUGUUCAGCCACACUUCUGCGGUCAUGCAAUUGGGUAACAGGGAAGAGGAAGAUGAUGAUGGCGGUGGUGGGGCUCCCUGUGAGUCUUGACCUGAACACUUUACCGUUGACCUUGCCUCUGGAACCUUCCCUGGUGGGGGCUCAUCAGGGCUGACAGAAUGGAGACAUGAUAUCUGGACUUGAGCAGCCACCUUGGACCACGAGAUGACAUGACAAUGACAGUGAAUUACAAAAUCAGAAGAUGACAAGUGGAGCCAUCAUAUCAACCCUGGGCUGUCUAUCUCUGGGCUUCUUAUAUGUAAAAAAGAAUACAUUUCUGACUGAUUCCAGCUGCUAUUAUUUGUGAGGGAGCUGGCAGAAGGGAGCUAGCUCUACUAUACCCAUUAAACUGACACAAGUAUAAUUUCACCUUUCUCUCUUAGGUGGUGGCCUGAGGAGUAGAAUUCUGGAGACCUAAGGUCAGAGCAGAAACACUGAAGGCCUCUGGGUGGUGACACAUUUCCUGACUGGCUCAGGCUGCUGCUGUUCACAGCCUGGCCGAGCUCCUCUGUUUGGCCUGAGCAGUGAGAGAGAUGGACAGAGGAUGGAAGGGAGAGGAAGCUCUGACUGGUCCUCACAGGGCUGAGUUGCCAAAUGUCUUGUUCUGAAAAGGGAACGGGUUUCACGUGGAUAGAUGGAAGGACUACUUGUUCCCUCUGGAAAGUUCUAUUAAAUGACCAACCCAGACACACUUUAAUAUUAAUGGGAAAUUCCUCCCGUUGUUUAUGAAAUCAUUUUAGAGUUGAUUUUAAAAAGACAGGGGGAGAGGGAGAAAAAGGCAUUUGUUAGCUAAACGAAACCUAGACAAUUAUUUAUAGAUGCAUCUGAGUGGCUUGUUUUAACAUGGAGCAACUGUCUGAAAAGACUCCACUUUGACACCAGUAAGCACUCCUGGCACUAAGAAUAAAUUUAUGAAUGUCUUUUAUGAGAGUCAACAAACUAGACAAAUAACCCCACAGACUGUCUUUCGCGUCUCGAACCAGAACAAAGACAGUUGUAUUCGUCAUUGGUCCUGGGCAGGAACUGGGCCAAGCUGAGCUGCCCUCCCUUGGGCCGGAUGUUGCCCUCUAGCUAAUGUGAUUUCUUUGGGCACAGCCACGGUAGCAGGCAACUGCCUGGUUUAUUUCCAUUCCCCCACUUCCCUGAUUUGUUUGAGUAGCUAAAUAUCUCUUUCCCAGGAGAACAUCUGCUCUUUUAAGAAUGGAAAAAGCAGGAAGGGCUUCCAAGAUGCGAGGUUGGAGCUCACCCUCCAGUUUGACAGACCUGAACCUCAUUGAACAUGGCUCCUGGGCACCAUGCUUCAUCUGUAGAGAGAGCUCAUGCUACUCAGUCUCCUUAGGGCUCUGGAUCUCUCCCUGGUUCAGUGACUUUCAAGACACUCUGAAUUCUCUACUAUGAUGCCUGAGGCUUAAAAACUGCUUUGAUCAAGGUUUGGUCAUUUUUUUUAUGUUUUACUUAUGGAUGCCUUCCUAUCAAGAUGCUUUGGUUAGAAAUGGAAGCACAAAAAUGCAGGGGUGCAAAAAAAAUAUGAUGAAAAAACGUGAAAAACAUCAAUGAAAGGUAACUUAAAUGUUUCUGAAUAAAAACUGUUUUCUUGGGGGGAAAUACUCUUUCAAACUUUCUCCUCCUCUUCCUUUUCCUCUUCCCCAGGUGCUCCAGGGUCCACGGACACUUGUGUAACACUGGGGCAGUGUAGGGUACUUUUCUCACGGUAGCUAUCCUGAAGAUUGUUAUGGCAUGGCUGAUGUGGCUAGGUCUCUGGCAUGGUGUAUGUGUUUUGAAUGAGACUGCUCAUCAUUUCUGGUUUGUGUGUUGCCACACCAGCCCUCACUAUAGACACUAGUAAUCUGUCCAUUUCCCUUCAUGCUGAGGUUCCUGUGCUUGGAUGCUGCCUGGCCCCACCUCUCUGGCCUCUUGGGAGUUCACUGGUCCUCACAGCUCCUCCUGUCUCCCUUCCAGUACUCAUGGAAACUUCUGGGUCUCUUAAACUCCCCUGCUAGGAGAACUAUCUCAGCCUGGCCUCUUGGCCUAACCAUGCCAGGUGGCCAUUUCCAUUUUUCUUGGCCACUCAGUAUUGCUGGGGCUACACUCUGCAAGCUGCUUUCUGUAUCAGAAUGAAAUCUUAUUUUCUUAUAGUCUGGAAAUUUGAAGUCCAAGAUCGAGGUGCCAGGUUGGUCUCUACUGAGGCCUCUCUCCUCAGUUAGCAGGUGGACACUCUCUUGCUGCCUCUUUAUGUGGUUGCAUUGUUAUCCUUCUGUGCACCUGUAGCCCUGUUAUCUUUUGCUCUCUUCUUUUUCUUUCUCCUUCUCCUUCUUUGGGCUGGAGAUCAAACCCAUGCCCUUGUGCAUGCUAAGAUGUACUCUUCCACCGAUUGACAUCCCCAGCCUCUCCUCUUCUUAGAAGCACACCAGCCCUACACUAACAACCUCACUAUAACUUAAUCACUUCUUUUAAAGACCUUAUCUCCAAAUAUGGUUACAUUCUUCAAUCCUAGAGAUUGGGAAGGAACAGAGAAAUUUUUGGGGAACAUAAUUCAGUCCAUGAGAAUUUUCUUCCCCUCAAUACAUGUGGAGUUUGUCCAUCCAGCUGGGGCGGGUCCUUCAGAGGCCACCAGUCUUCCCACCUCAUCUGCCCCUCUCAGACUCUCUGCUGCAGCAGCCUCACACUUCAGGCAACAGUGGGCUUUCACCCUUCUCAAAGAGGGGACGAAUUCUUGCCUGACAAAUUCUGCCCUUUCUCCAAUGGUAGCUAAUAGGCUCAGACCACCACCCAUGUUCUUUGUAGGGGAAACAAUCUGAAAUUUAGAAAUUCAGGCUGGGGUGUAGCUUGGUGAUAGAGUGUGUGUUUAACAUGUGUGAGAACCUGGGCUUAAUCCCAGGAUAUACGCACAGACACACAAAAAUCACUUGGAAUUUAGAAAUAUACAAAUUCCUUUUCUCAACCAAGCCUUACUUUCAAAACUAUUUUCUUGCUGCUGCCACGCCAAAUUUGCUUUGAAAUUUGAAGCUCAAUUGUUCAGCCUUCUGAUGCAAGGGAUGGAUGGGGAGCCACAGGGUGACUUGAUUUAUAGGGAAGGAGAAAUCAAUUGAUACUAUAUUUUAUCUAGGUCAGAUGGCUUAGUUUCUUUUUUUUCAUUAUAAAAAGGAGUAUAUGCUCAUUUUAGGAAAUUUUGGAAAUUAAUUCAAAGAAAAAAUCCUGCUUACACCUGAUAUUCCAAAACUGGUACAGUUAUCAUUUUAGCCUAUUUUCCUGCUUUUUUCUAUGGAUAAUUUUUGGGAAUUAUUUAAAAAAUAUGGUAUGUAAUGUAUUUUAAAUGGUUAAAAACAGGAUACAAAGGUACACAGUGAGAAGUCUCACAACCAUUCCUAUCUUGCCCCCUGGUCUCACUAUCUCUUGAGAGUCAUCACUUGGGCUGAGUUUUCGGGCAUUUGUCCUUUCAGAGUCUCUUGAAUAUAUGCUCUUAUUCUCUGGUUUCUUACAUACCAAAAACUAGAACUUUGAGGUGCCCUGCACAUGGGCAACUUUCAGCAUUAGCACUGUCUCUGUAGCUCCCUGCAACCUGGAAUCUCAGUACUCUGGGCUAACACCUUUACCUGUCUAGGUCAAGCUUUGGCUAUGAUGGACAUCUUGGGAUUCAUGGAAGUCAGUGCUUCUCCUUUCUCCUGGUAACAAACCCUGGCAUACUCUCUUCAUCUCAGCCCUGGCCAUGGGUGUGAGCACAUGAUCCAAGUCUGGCUGGGUAAAGAAGGGCUCUUGAGGCAGUCAUCUCUGUAUGAAGCUAUGCACUGGUGACCAACUUAUUUGGGGCUAGAAGUGACAGAACAAGCUUAUAUGCAGCAAGGUGCAUGGAACAGAUUUAUUAUUCAUAGAGAAGCAGCCAGGGCAAGAGCUGGUCUCCUCAGGAUUAAAAAGAUACCUGGGUGGAUAGUACAUGUCCUCUUUGGACUGCAAAUGAGGGGCCCUGAAAGGGAACCUCCCCUGGGUUAUAUACCUCAAGAUAUGGCUCACUGGGCUAAAGUGUUGAAGGAAUUGUUUGUAGGAGGGGACAGUUUGUAUGAGCUUUCCUAGCCAUUCUGUCCCUAUCUCUGGAUGCUACACAUUCUACAGGUAUUUUUGAGAGCCACAAGCAAGAAAGGAGGGAGGACUGUAUCAAUCUAGGGCCAUCCAGAGGACUGUCCUAUAGCUAUGUGAUUCCAGCUGACCAGGACUUUCCUCCUGGUGCUAGUGGGAGUGCCUUCCUCUGGCAUCCAGCUUACUGUAUUGUCAUAAUGUGAAGUUGGUCAUCUUUCCCACCACACACAUGGGGCCCAUCAUGAAUAGGAAAAAGGUGGUCAAUACUCAGAAAGAGAGGAAAAUCUCGGACUACUCCUUGGAGUCCUGGAUUCAGCCCUGGUUGAGAUCCACCCUCUUUGGGUUAUGGAAGUUUGAACUGCAUUUCUGUUACAGCUGCAAGAAUCCUAACUUGUACUGAUCCAGUGAACUCUGAGCCUCUGGUCACGGAGAGGUGGGGGUUAAGAGCAUAGACUGCAAAAUCAGACUUGCUGGGUCCAUAGUCUGACUCCACUGCAUAGCAAGUGGCCUUGGCAAACCGUGUAACUUUUCUGUGUCCAUGUCCACCCCCUUGGGUGAUAUAACGUGAGCUGGUGUAUGUCAAGUAUGUAGGCCAAUGCCUGGGCCAUGGAAAACUUCAUAAAUGCUAUUAUUUGCAUCCAUCUGUCCACAUUUUACUGGUAUCAUUGCCACUCUCACCAACCCAACCUUCAUCCAAUCCCAUCUUCCCUCUCACAAGCCCAGAGUUGCUCAACAUGAAACAAUUGGCAUCAAGAUAGUGGGAAAUAAUAGCUGUGGAUGAGAUCGUUCAGUUAGCAGAUUAAAAGGUCUAAGGCUGGGCAAACAAAGAAACAAGCAAAAUGCAGUCAUGCCUUGGUUCCCCACUGCUUUGAAACUUGUUGAGUUUGGUACUCGAUACAUUUUGACAUGAAAGUUUUAUCCUGGUACUAAUUAUUUCUUUGGUACUCUAUGGAUAAGCUAGAACUUGUUGGCACCUUGUGACUUGCUACCCUUUCCCGUCAAAACAAUUUGGUGCUUGUUGUUUUUGGUACUGAUUGCAACUCUGGAACCAAUGAAUGAUGAUUACUGAGGUAGCACUGGACAGGUGCCAGUGAGAUGCCACACAGUACAGUGGUCUUUUAAGGAUGAACUAAGGAUGUACAGUCCCACAUUUCUUUCUCCAAGAGUUUUCUCUCAUCAAGAUAC